rnacentral:rRNA from 1 species
CCUACGGGCGGCAGCAGUGAGGAAUAUUGGUCAAUGGACGAGAGUCUGAACCAGCCAAGUAGCGUGAAGGAUGACUGCCCUAUGGGUUGUAAACUUCUUUUAUAUGGGAAUAAAAUGUUCCACGUGUGGGAUUUUGUAUGUACCAUAUGAAUAAGGAUCGGCUAACUCCGUGCCAGCAGCCGCGGUAAUACGGAGGAUCCGUGCGUUAUCCGGAUUUAUUGGGUUUAAAGGGAGCGUAGGUGGAUUGUUAAGUCAGUUGUGAAAGUUUGCGGCUCAACCGUAAAAUUGCAGUUGAAACUGGCAGUCUUGAGUACAGUAGAGGUGGGCGGAAUUCGUGGUGUAGCGGUGAAAUGCUUAGAUAUCACGAAGAACUCCGAUUGCGAAGGCAGUUCACUGGACUGCAACUGACACUGAGGCUCGAAAGUGUGGGUAUCAAACAGGAUUAGAUACCCUUGUAGUC